rnacentral:sRNA from 1 species
ACAUCAUAGCAAGUUCGAUCUGUCUAUGGAGGUCGGUUUCUGUAACAGGCGUACUUCGAUUAAUGAUCUAGCACUAUCCUAAAUACAAAUUACAAAUUGAUUAAGAAAAGAAAGAGAAAAAAAAUCAGAAGAAAAGAUUGUAAAAAAAAAGUUCUUAUAGAAAGAAAAUCAGAAUGAAAAAAUAUCAGAAGUUAUUUCACAGUGAAAUAUUGUGAUUCAAAGAUUGCUUGAGCUGUUCAAAGCUUCUAAGCUUUGCAGCUCUUCUUAUACAAAUAGGCUGGCCGGUGGGACCAUGAAUUUCAUGUUUGGUUUGGUUUGGUUUGGUCCCAGUCCAUUUCUUGGCGUGAUUUUCAGUGGGAUCAGGAUCAGAAUGGGAGUGUAAAGUGACUGACCUCUAUACCACCACGGCGCUGGUGGUGAUUGAGCUCUUUUGCCCUAGUGGCCUAAUAGGUUAUGAGCCUGUGUAAGCGCGACUGCUACAGGGUGUGUCAACAUGCUAUCACAGGUUCGAAUCAGAUCAAGACCAGAAGAAUAUCCCUUACUAAUGCACAUUCUCUUACCAAGGUGGAGGAGAUUGGUGGUUAGGCACCCAGGAAGACCCCAGGCCACCAAGGACCAAUGGUAGUAGGGUAGUGGAACUUAGGAAGAGCCAGGUUCCCCCAGCUGGCCGGAUGGUAGAGUGGGUCCGAGGGGGGGUGUUGAGGGGAUUGGAUUGGGUGAUUCGUACCCUCUAUACCACCACGGCGCUGGUGGUGAUUGAGCUCUUUUGCCCUAGUGGCCUAAUAGAUUUUGACUGAGUGCUGUCAACCAAUUUACCGCUGCCAAUCUAUCUAUUGCUGCAAGCUAUCCCUCGCUGCUAAGCUAUCCCUCGCUGGCUAAGCUAUCCCUCACUGGCUAUCCCUCACUGCUAAGCUAUCCCUCACUACUAAGCUAUCUAUUGCUGCUAAUCUAUCGCUGCCAACCUAUCUAUCGCUGCCAACCUAUCUAUCGCUGCCAAUUUAUCUACCACUGCCAAUCUAUCUAUCGCUGCUAAUCUAUCGCUGCUGUCAAUCUAUCUAUCGCUGCUAAUCUAUCGCUGCUAAUCUAUCGCUGCUAAUCUAUCGCUGCUAAUCUAUCGCUGCUAAUCUAUCGCUGCUAAUCUAUCGCUGCUAAUCUAUCGCUGCUAAUCUAUCGCUGCUAAUCUAUCGCUGCCAACCUAUCUACUGCAGUGAAUCUAUCUAUCACUAUCAUUACUAGUUCAAAAUAGAACUAGAGCAUAAAUACACUAAACUUCUUUUGAUAGGUAAUGAUUUUUGGUAACACUCAUAGCAUUAUAUCAUCUAUAUAGGGUAAAUCAUGGUCCCAUUUGGUCCCAUUUUGUAAAAUGGGACCAAAUGGGACCAGAAUCAGUAAUUUAUAAGAAGAAUAUGAUCUG